rnacentral:ribozyme from 1 species
GCCCGGCUAACUACCCGCAAGCACCUGCUUCGCCGGCGCAUCGGCGUGCGAAUCGCGGCAUCACUGUCUAAUUGACACUAAACAUACGUUCACAAAUAUCAUAUCCAAACAAGAUCUCACUCUACGUG